GACUCCGUGGUCUAGUUGGUUACGACGUCUGCUUCACACGCAGAAGGUCCUGGGUUCGAGCCCCAGCGGAGCCA
rnacentral:tRNA from 1 species